GAUUUCACGUAGACCUUCUCAGCCGGGGACACUCAAAAAAUGGCGGCACUUUCCUACCUAGAACAGAAAGUGCCCCCACAGUUUGAGUGGCACAGGCCGAGUAUCCAGGAUCCGCCAGCG
rnacentral:precursor_RNA from 12 species